rnacentral:rRNA from 1 species
CCUACGGGAGGCAGCAGUGAGGAAUAUUGGUCAAUGGACGCAAGUCUGAACCAGCCAUGCCGCGUGCAGGACGACGGCCCUAUGAGUUGUAAACUGCUUUUGUCCGGGGCUAAACUGAUUCACGUGUGUCUGAUUGCAGGUACCGCAUGAAUAAGGACCGGCUAAUUCCUUGCCAGCAGCCGCGGUAAUACGGAGGGUCCAGGCGUUAACCGGAUUUGUUGGGUUUAAGGGGAGGGUAGGCGGUCGGUUAAGCUGCGGGGGAAAUGCCGCGGGUCAACGGGGGAAGUGCCGCGGGUACUGGUGGGCUGGAGUGCGGAUGCGGUAGGCGGAAUGUGUGGUGUAGCGGUGAAAUGCUUAGAGAUCACAAAGAACACCGAUUGCGAAGGCAGCUUACC